CCUCGGUCCUGCUGAAAAGCUCCUAUUGUCCGACUCCACCUCCAUCAGAAGUCAUUAAUUAUGGGCCGUGAUGCUCAGCUCAGUGCGAAUAAGUCCAGCCUUCACACUCACAGCCCAACUCUCCUUCCUUGUCAUGUUACAGCAUGCAGAGACUGAUGGGACCCAAGUCCCGCUCCCCUCCUCUGAACCCUUUUAAUGAAUCCAAGCUGACCGCUUAGCAAAGCCCCGUUACAACUUUUGCUUUUUUAGAACUACACCUUGAGGCACGAGUAGGGAAAGGAAGGAAGGAAUAUGUAUAUCCUCAAAGGCACCCAUGGGGGAGGUGAGCUGUGGCCUUUUGGACCUUCGGCGCUGCCAGUCUUGAUGAAUGACAUCUGCAGGAUUGUCUAGUGGCGCUUGGCUAUUGUCCAGCUGAAAGAACUGCCCUGACCCAUGACCCCUGACCCCUGAGGGCUGCCCUGCGCCCUACCUAGAGGACAGGAUUGGAGCUGUUGCUGGGAGCAGAGGCAACAUGGGGAUUAAACGAGGCUGAGUGGUUUGUGCUGGGAAAUUGAUACUCCCACAACUCCCCGAGUUCUUAACCUCAAAACUCAAGUGGUGAUAUUCAUGCAUCCCAACAGUGCUGGAAAGGUACCGCUGAAUUUCUUCACCAACCACCGUCUGAUAUGAUUCACAUUUACUUUAUUUUGGAUGAAACAACUUGUCUGUGGUGGAUAAAGUGAUGCUUACAACAACAUGAGAAUGCUUCUUUUCUACCUUCGCAGAUAACAAGAAAUAUUUUGUGGUGAGAAAUAUGACAGCCAAUGACAUUUUCAGAACCAAAUAAAAACGAUCAUGAACCAAAUAUAGGUCACAAAUGCAAUCAAAGCAUUCCUAAGCAAAUGAAUGCUUUGACCUUGGAUUUGUUUGGAUUUCAGACAUUUCCUUGAGUAAAGAAUAAUAAUAUUUUUGGAGUUGGAACAUGACGACGAGACUGGAGACACCAGAGAUAUUCUUGUUUCCAAAUUUCCAACGUUUAAAUAUUUAAAGCAAAAGUACUAAUUGCUGGUUAGGAGGCAAGCAAGAGCACAUGAGACAGAAUCACUUGGUUACAUUUGAACCCUUGCUCUUUACCUUUUGGACCAUUUUGUCCUUUACAAUGUCAUUUUACCAUCAAACUUUUUGGGGUGCAACGUCAUUUCUAUUUCAGCA